AUUGAACGCUGGCGGCAGGCUUAACACAUGCAAGUCGAGCGGGGUGAUGGUGCUUGCACUAUCACUUAGCGGCGGACGGGUGAGUAAUGCUUAGGAAUCUGCCUAUUAGUGGGGGACAACAUCUCGAAAGGGAUGCUAAUACCGCAUACGUCCUACGGGAGAAAGCAGGGGAUCACUUGUGACCUUGCGCUAAUAGAUGAGCCUAAGUCGGAUUAGCUAGUUGGUGGGGUAAAGGCCUACCAAGGCUACGAUCUGUAGCGGGUCUGAGAGGAUGAUCCGCCACACUGGGACUGGGACACGGCCCAGACUCCUACGGGAGGCAGCAGUGGGGAAUAUUGGACAAUGGGGGGAACCCUGAUCCAGCCAUGCCGCGUGUGUGAAGAAGGCCUUAUGGUUGUAAAGCACUUUAAGCGAGGAGGAGGCUCUUUUGGUUAAUACCCAAGAUGAGUGGACGUUACUCGCAGAAUAAGCACCGGCUAACUCUGUGCCAGCAGCCGCGGUAA
rnacentral:rRNA from 1 species